rnacentral:tRNA from 1 species
GCAUCGGUGGUUCAGUGGUAGAGUGCUCGCCUGCCACGCGGGCGGCCCAGGUUCGAUUCCCGGCCGAUGCA